GCCUGGAGAUUCAGCCUACCUACCCCACGUGGGGGUUGCCUGUCUGUCCGAUUUCGUCUUUCUUAGAUGAUAGGCGUGCGAUCUGGAGAUUGAAAGCACUCUGGCAGAUACUGGAUAGCGGAACCCGGAGAAACCGUGAGGUAAAGCCCCUCCCAUUGCGGAGUGCGCCUGCGUUAGUUCAGACUUUCCGGUAGGACACUCCCGCCAGCCCGCACCCCUCGUCCUCGUUACUUAAAGGCCUGCAACGCUGCCGUCUCCGGUUCUGUGGGGCAGAGCCCCGGCCGGCGUCCCUACACGGCUAUACCGGUGCCCUCUACCUACAACCUCCCACCUUUCAUUCAACUUGUGGACCUCGCUUCCCGAUUCUCCGGAAACUGGGAUCCCUGGCUGUCCUGAGCCCACUGGAAAGAAGCGACAGUGCCCGGGUUCCCACUCGGUGCAACUCAGUACUGACAGACCGCGAGAUCCCUUUCAACUCUGGUGCGCUCACCCGGCUAUUCCUCGUAGUAAAACUAUUCCAGACCUUUAA